rnacentral:rRNA from 1 species
GACGAACGCUGGCGGCGUGCUUAACACAUGCAAGUCGAACGGUGAAGCGCCUUCCUUUUUGGUGGGUGUGGAUGAGUGGCGAACGGGUGAGUAACACGUGAGUAACCUGCCCCCUUCUUCUGGAUAACCGCAUGAAAGUGUGGCUAAUACGGGAUAUUCUGGGUCUGUCGCAUGAUGGGUCUGGGAAAGAUAUUGUUUCGGUGGGGGAUGGGCUCGCGGCCUAUCAGCUUGUUGGUGGGGUGAUGGCCUACCAAGGCGGUGACGGGUAGCCGGCCUGAGAGGGUGGACGGUCACACUGGGACUGAGACACGGCCCAGACUACUACGGGCGGCAGCAGUGGGGAAUAUUGCACAAUGGGAGCAAGCCUGAUGCAGCGACGCCGCGUGAGGGAUGGAGGCCUUCGGGUUGUGAACCUCUUUCGCCAGUGAAGCAGGCCUGCCUCGUUUGUGGGUGGGUUGACGGUAGCUGGAUAAGAAGCGCCGGCUAACUACGUG